CGGAAGGAUCAUUGUCAAAUCCUCGUACCGAAUGACCUGCGAACACGUUCCGAAAAUCACAAGCGCUGUUGCGCCCUUGCUCGGUGUGGGUCGGCGACUUGUUGCCGGACGCGUCGAGCAUCGAAAACAAAAUCCGGCGCGGGAAGCGCCAAGGACUGGCGAAAUAGAGGACGGCCUUCCCGCGGCAUCCUGGCCGCGGGGAUUAAAAAGGGUCUCCAAAUGAAAAUGUUGUAUAAUAGAGUACGACUCUCGGCAACGGAUAUCUAGGCUCUCGCAUCGAUGAAGAACGUAGCAAACUGCGAUAGUUGGUGUGAAUUGCAGAAUCCCGUGAACCAUGGAGUCUUUGAACGCAAGUUGCGCCCGAAGCCAUUAGGCCGAGGGCACGUCUGCCUGGGCGUCACACGCAUUGCGUCGUCCCCCCCUCACCCGUGUCCCGAAAGGGUCGCGGGCCUUAGCGUGGGGGGCGGAAGUUGGCUUCCCGUGCAGCGUUUGCGGCUAGCCUGAAACAACGGUUCCCUCGGCGCGGACGUCGCGACAAGUGGUGGUCGUCGAGAUUGUACGCGAGUUGCCGGCAAGCUGCGUCGAGGAGAGCAUUUGGACCCCGUGCGAGACGAGUCCCUUCAGCGAGGGGCAAUCGCAACGAUUGCGACCCCAGUCAGGC
rnacentral:sRNA from 1 species